rnacentral:sRNA from 1 species
UUGUCUAGAAUAUUGUGUGUGUGUGUGUUUACGUCAUCCUUAGUUCCCGCAAGAGAGAGAGCUUCUUUUGUGAGCUAGGGAGCUGGUCUGGUUGUUUGUUUCCCCCUUGUAAGGGGUGUUAGGCUUUGGGCUAUGGGAAAGUGUGUCGCCUUUCCGCCUGUGGAGUUUCUCAGUAACUCUUGUUGUUGAGGUGUAGGGAGUUGAGGUUACGUUGGGCGCCGAGAUGGAGUGUGAGCGUGGAGGUGUGUUAUGGAAACUUAUUGGCGUUAUAUUAGACUAGUUAUUAAUUCAGUGAUGACUUCAAUGAUGGUGAUGUAUAUGUAAAUAUGUUGAUAACUUAUAAUUAAUUAUUAUUAAAUAUUGUUCAUAUUGA